rnacentral:rRNA from 1 species
UACGUAGGGGGCAAGCGUUGUCCGGAAUCAUUGGGCGUAAAGCGCGUGUAGGCGGCCCGGUAAGUCCGCUGUGAAAGUCCAGGGCUCAACCCUGGGAUGCCGGUGGAUACUGUCGGGCUCGAGUCCGGAAGAGGCGAGUGGAAUUCCUGGUGUAGCGGUGGAAUGCGCAGAUAUCAGGAAGAACACCCGUGGCGAAGGCGGUUCUCUGGGACGGUACUGACGCUGAGACGCGAAAGCGUGGGGAGCGAACAGG